GAUGAACGCUGGCGGCGUGCUUAACACAUGCAAGUCGAACGAGAAGUGAAGACGGAAACCUUCGGGCGGAAGGCUUUAUUUCGAGCGGCGGACGGGCGAGUAACGCGUGGGUAACCUGCCUCAUACAGGGGGAUAACAGUUGGAAACGACUGUUAAUACCGCAUAAGACCACAGCACCGCAUGGUGCGGGGGUAAAAACUCCGGUGGUAUGAGAUGGACCCGCGUUCGAUUAGCCAGUUGGCGGGGUAACGGCCCACCAAAGCGACGAUCGAUAGCCGAUCUGAGAGGAUGACCGGCCACAUUGGGACUGAGACACGGCCCAAACUCCUACGGGAAGCAGCAGUGGGGAAUAUUGCACAAUGGGGGAAACCCUGAUGCAGCGACGCCGCGUGAGUGAAGAAGUAUUUCGGUAUGUAAAGCUCUAUCAGCAGGGAAGAAAAUGACGGUACCUGAGUAAGAAGCCCCGGCUAACUACGUG
rnacentral:rRNA from 1 species